GGGGAAUUUUGGACAAUGGGGGAAACCCUGAUCCAGCCAUCCCGCGUGUGCGAUGAAGGCCUUCGGGUUGUAAAGCACUUUUGUCAGGGAAGAAAAGGUUCUGGCUAAUACCCGGAACUGAUGACGGUACCUGAAGAAUAAGCACCGGCUAACUACGUGCCAGCAGCCGCGGUAAUACGUAGGGUGCAAGCGUUAAUCGGAAUUACUGGGCGUAAAGCGUGCGCAGGCGGUUCGGAAAGAAGGAUGUGAAAUCCCAGGGCUCAACCUUGGAACUGCAUUCUUAACUACCGAACUAGAGUAUGUCAGAGGGGGGUAGAAUUCCGCGUGUAGCAGUGAAAUGCGUAGAUAUGCGGAGGAGUACCGAUGGCGAAGGCAGCCCCCUGGGAUAAUACUGACGCUCAUGCACGAAAGCGUGGGUAGCAAAC
rnacentral:rRNA from 1 species